GGUAGAGCUACUGGAUGCUUGCGGGCCCGUAUGGGGUACCAACAGCAGCCAAACUCCGAAUACCGUUGAUGUGUAUUCCGGCAGUGAGUCGGCGGGGGAUAAGCUCCGUCGUCGAGAGGGAGACAGCCCAGAUCGUCGUCUAAGGUCCCGAAGCGUGUGCUAAGUGGGAAAGGAUGUGGAGUCGCAUAGACAGCCAGGAGGUUGGCUCAGAAGCAGCCACCCUUGAAAGAGUGCGUAACAGCUCACUGGUCUAGUGGUUCCGCGCCGACAAUGUAGCGGGGCUCAAGCACACCACCGAAGACGCGGCAGCGGCCUUUGUGGCCGUUGGGUAGGAGAGCGUCCCCCGAGGGGCGAAGCGGCGGCGGAAGCCGGCCGUGGACUUCGGGGGAGUGAGAAUGCAGACAUGAGUAGCGAGAGACGGGUGAGGAUCCCGUCCGCUGGAUGACCAAGGGUUCCGGGGCCACGUUCGUCGUCCCCGGGUGAGUCGGGUCCUAAGGCGAGGCCGACAGGCGUAGUCGAAUGGAUGAACGGGUGGAUAUUCCCGUACCGGCAGCGAACCGCAAGAGCCGAACGGAUGAGUACUAACCUCCGGUCGCGUGGCGUCGUUCCCUUCGGGGUUCGGGGCGCGCGGUUGUUGGGAAUGUAGUCCUGGUAGGUUAGCGCACAGGGGUGACACGGAAUGGGAGCCGGCCGCGGAGGUGGUUUUCCGUGGUCAAGCACGCAGCCCGUCCCAUAGGCAAAUCCGUGGGACAUGCAGGGUGAGGUGCGAUGAUGGGCGCCUUUCAGGCGCGAUAUCCGGUGGUCCAGGCCGUCGAGAAAAGCCUCGGCGCGAGGGGCGUUGCCGCCCGUACCCCAAACCGACACUGGUGGUCAGGUAGAGAAUACCAAGGCGAUCGAGCGAAUCCUGGUCAAGGAACUCGGCAAAUCACUCCCGUGCCUUCGGUAUAAGGGAGACCCCUGAUGGUGAUGGAACUUGCUUCCGGAGCUUUCGGGGGUGGCACAGACCAGGGGGUAGCGACUGUUUACCAAAAACACAGGUGCAUGCGAAGGCGCAAGCCGCUGUAUAUGCACUGACGCCUGCCCGGUGCCGGAAGGUUAAGAGGAUCCGUCAGCCCUCGGGUGAAGCGGUGAAUUCAAGCCCCGGUAAACGGCGGUGGUAACUAUAACCAUCCUAAGGUAGCGAAAUUCCUUGUCGGGUAAGUUCCGACCUGCACGAAUGGCGUAACGACUUCCCCACUGUCUCGACCAGGAGCUCGGCGAAAUUGCAGUACGAGUAAAGAUGCUCGUUAAGCGCAGAAGGACGAAAAGACCCCGGGACCUUUACUAUACCUUGGUAUUGGCGUUAGGCGCGGAUUGUGUAGCAUAGGCGGGAGGCUUCGAAGCGCGGGCGCCAGCCCGUGUGGAGCCGCAAGGUGAAAUACCGCUCUGUUCUCGUUUGACGUCUCACCUCGAACAGUCAUCCUGUUCAGGGACAGUGCCUGGCGGGUAGUUUAACUGGGGCGGUUGCCUCCCAAAGAGUAACGGAGGCGCUCAAAGGUCCGCUCAGCCCGGUUGGCAAUCGGGUUUCGAGUGUAAUCGCACAAGCGGGCUUGACUGCGAGAACGACGGUUCGGGCAGGGACGAAAGUCGGAGAUAGUGAUCCGGUGCCGGCGCACGGGCGCGGCAUCGCUCAACGGAUAAAAGGUACUCCGGGGAUAACAGGCUGAUCAUUCCCAAGAGUCCAUAUCGACGGGAUGGUUUGGCACCUCGAUGUCGGCUCGUCGCAUCCUGGGGCUGGAGCAGGUCCCAAGGGUUCGGCUGUUCGCCGAUUAAAGCGGCACGCGAGCUGGGUUCAGAACGUCGUGAGACAGUUUGGUCUCUAUCCUCUGCGCUCGUUGGAAUCCUGAGGAGGCCUGCCCAUAGUACGAGAGGACCUGGGUGGACGGACCUCUGGUAUGCCGGUUGUCGCGCCAGCGGCAUGGCCGGUUGGCUACGUUCGGGAGGGAUAACCGCUGAAAGCAUCUAAGCGGGAAGCCUGCUCCAAGAUUAGGAUUCCUUGGCACUUCGGUGUCUGUAGCCCGCAUGUUGAACACGUGUUCGAUAGGCCGGAGGUGGAAGUCCCGCGAGGGAUGGAGCCGACCGGUACUAACGGGCGAACGCGGCACAC
rnacentral:rRNA from 1 species